rnacentral:misc_RNA from 1 species
GCAAACUUGGUCAUUUAGAGGAAGUAAAAGUCAUAACAAGGUUUCCGUAGGUGAACCUGCGGAAGGAUCAUUAGUGAUUUGGCCGAGAGGCCUCAAAACAAUAUCAUCCUCACACCUGUGAACACGUAUCGGACUGGUUGACGCCGGUCUGAGACCUUUACAAACAUUAUGUGUAAUGAACGUAUUAUACCUAUAACAAAAACAAAACUUUCAACAACGGAUCUCUUGGCUCUCGCAUCGAUGAAGAACGCAGC